rnacentral:sRNA from 1 species
CAGAAAAGCACUGUCUGUUGAAGCUAGCAAAUUGACUCUCUAAUUUACCUUAAAGCUGGAGACCCAGAGGUGUAUGUGAAGCGAGCUAGCUGAAUUAGGACCACCUUCCAUUCUGACACUCAGCCUAGUCCUUUCUCCAUCACGUGGUGCCACUUUUCAAACAUUCACUAUCUGAUUAGAACUUGGCAUGUAGAUGGGAAGAUUGAUGAGGGGUAAAGAGAAGACCAAGAAAAUUAAUUCAAGAAAGACUAAGGAGGAGGACACGGGUAGGGUAGGGUUCACCUUUGCAGGAACUGACUAGCCUUUUCUGAGAGUUUUCCCCUCUCCAUGUACCCUUCAUCUACCCUAUUCUAUUUAACUCUGUCUCCUCUGCAGCCACAGAAGGUUGCACCUGUAAUGCGUUCCCAAUGUUCACCUGAAAUGAACUCCAGGUGUUUGUCCUAGAUGCUGGGCUGAGCUCAGCCUGAGCCAAGCUGCACGUAGGGAGCACUGGUCUUUGAAUGGGAGUUCAAAGAGAAAGAACUUUAAGAGAGUUCUGUCUCCUGGGUAUUUGGAAUUAGGACAGCAAAGACUGAGCCAAUUUGCCACAGGCACAGGAUCUGUAAGGAGAUGAGCCUAAAUCAGGGUCUUUAGAGGCAGAGGGAUUGAUUGAGGGAGUGCUCCGAGGCUAUACCUGAAGGGAGUGAGAAGAGCAGCAUGGGACAGGGGAAGAUGCUAUGCAAAGACAGGAAAAGGCAGCCUGCACCCGAUCCUAGGGGGCUGUCCAGAGUGUGAAUUGUACCACAGAGUGUAUCCUGCCUUGAGGCAAGGAGGAUGGACUUUUGCAUGCCCCCACCCAUCUGACAGUCAUUGGCCAAGGAAUGUGGGGCAAAACCUUUUGGGCAUCUCCAGGAGAGAAGCUUCCAGUUGGUAAAGGAUAGUCCUCCAGAGAAGGGUACACUUAUGAGCUGUUAUUAACCGACACCCACAGCAGCUGCAAGAUGAGGACAUCAGCCCAGUAUAGGCAUCGGGGUGAGAUACCAACAGCAUAUACCACAGUGAUGGUGACUGGGGAGCUGAAGACACCAUCUGGGGGCAGCCAUCAUGGUCCAUGUGCCGGAAGAGCUGAGGAAACUGGUCAGAAAGUGAGAAGAGAAUGACAUGAGAGCUCAGAAAGGAGCAGAAGUUAGUUUGAAUGGAUUUCUGUACUUGUCACAAAAUUAUCUCCAACUAAUUCAGAAGGUUUAGGCAUAAUUUACUGUAAUGUAGAUAUGAUGGUCAAUCCUGUUGGUGUCCACAAUACUUCUCUCUCUGGGGCAGUGGGCAUAGUGGUAACAGCAUGUGUUUAAGAGUCAGGCAGACCUUGAUUUGCAUCCCAAUAUGGCCUCCUCUAGCUCUAGGACCUGGGACAAGCUAAUCAAAGUCAUCUGCAGAAUGUGAAUAAUGAUAGUCAUAGAGUGGGUUUGCAGAUUAAAUACUGUAUAAGCCUCACAAGUAUCCCAGGAGGUGGUUACUCUUAACACCUCUAUUUUACUAAUGAAAUUAGCAACUUGUCCAUGAACAUACAGCUAGCAAGUCUGACCUGGGAGCCUGCAUCUGACCACUCCAUUCUGCUAAGCUGGUAUGAGUUGCAAAAGUGGUGCAUUAUUGCAUAGGAGCUGUAAUCACUGAUCAGGAUAGGUGGAAGAUGCUUAUGCCCCAUCACAUCUUUCUCUGUGAGAGCUGAGGAUGUCUGUGGACCUCUAGAAGAAAAGGUGGAACAGAAACCCAGGUGAGGCAGUGGGGCCCACCAAGAAGUUACAGGUAGAAGACAGCAGUGAAGUGAGCGGACCACCCCAGCAGCACUGGUGUGCUCCAACAUAGAAGACGACAGGAGUCACAGUGUGUGAUAUGCACGCAUUCUUAUUGAGGAACAUUGAGGGACUUUGGCCUCUAGAAAAUUACCUAUGUUCCAAUAAAACUUGCUGUUGUUAAAAUGUGGUCAAUGUUUUUACAUCAGUGGAGGGAACACUGUGUGAAAAAUAGCUCUUCAAAUUUCUGUGUGGCUUUUGCAUCAAUAAAAGUCAGAUA